UACAGAGGAUGCAAGCGUUAUCCGGAAUUAUUGGGCGUAAAGAGCUCGUAGGCGGUCUGUUACGUCUGCUGUGAAAACCCAGGGCUUAACCCUGGGCUUGCAGUGGAUACGGGCAGACUAGAGGCAGGUAGGGGAGAAUGGAAUUCCCGGUGUAGCGGUGAAAUGCGCAGAUAUCGGGAGGAACACCGGUGGCGAAGGCGGCAUUCUGGACCGACAUUGACGCUGAGGAGCGAAAGCCAGGGGAGCAAACGGG
rnacentral:rRNA from 1 species